GCGGGGCCGAGCAUCACGAGGACAAGAGAGACCAAUCAGAGCUCGCGAGGGGGGGGGUCCCGCGGCGGCCCCGCCCCCGGGACGCGCAACGCUUCCACCCACUGUGGCUCGGGGAGCUGGGCGCCUUCGGCAGGACGUACCGGGGACAGUGGGCCCCCACAGCCCUCUUGAACUCUACGUGCAGUUAGGCGGUGGAGGGAACAAAAGAUACUUCUUGUCUGAAAAAUGCUGUGAGAGCAUUAAGGUUGGACAUAAGGAUCAGCCUUCUGGCUUGGAGGACUGGGUGCAAGGUGGGUGUGACAAAGAAAAGGAGCUCAAAACUGCCUCCUGCUCCAGCCUAACCGGACCACUGCAUUUGAUGAAAUGAGUUUGCAACUUAAAAUACCACAUGUAGAAACAAGCCACUAUUCAUAAGUCAGCAGAAAAAAUGAAAUAAGGACUCAGACCCAUCACACCGGCAAAGUAGAAUUUGAAGAUUUAAAAUACCAAAAAAUUGCAUCACAAAAUGUAUGGUGACACAAAACUUCCACAUGGAGGGCCUGAGGGUUUGUGACAUCUGGACUGAUAAAAGUGAUGAUGUGGAAACACUAAAACCGAAGCAUGUGCAAGGUCAACUUAAGAAGUUGGUCCCAGCUCUGCCGCCUCUUCAAAAGUUAUCCUGUCCUGUCAGGAGUCAAGUGGACUGGAUGCUGCCAAGCAAGUUUUCAAGUUGUGUGAUGCUAUUCCCUCUUCACUGAAAGGGAAGCCCUGCAGAGAAGACAUCACAGGCUGAGACAGGUAAUGGAAACCCCAGGAGUGAUCCUAGGAGUAUUUCUCACCUGCAGCCUGAGUCACAAUGCUGGAGGGUGAAUGACAGGCUUGUGUCUGCAUGUCCAGCUUUUUGGAAAGUCAGAGGAAAUGCUACUGUGGUCCCAUUAAUCACACUGUGAUAUGUUGAUCUGACUAAAAUCCAACUUUGAAAUGUUACAUAUUGUCAUGCCUAGAAACUCAAUCUAAAUUGUUUCUGCUUUGGGACGCCCAGGUGGCUCAGUUGGUUAAGCGUCCGACUUCGGCUCAGGUCGUGAUCUCACAGUUCAUGAGUUCGAGCCCCGCG